rnacentral:rRNA from 1 species
GACGAACGCUGGCGGCGUGCCUAAUACAUGCAAGUCGAACGCUGAAGAGAGGAGCUUGCUCUUCUUGGAUGAGUUGCGAACGGGUGAGUAACGCGUAGGUAACCUGCCUUGUAGCGGGGGAUAACUAUUGGAAACGAUAGCUAAUACCGCAUAACAAUAGGUGACACAUGUCAUUUAUUUGAAAGGGGCAAUUGCUCCACUACAAGAUGGACCUGCGUUGUAUUAGCUAGUAGGUGAGGUAACGGCUCACCUAGGCGACGAUACAUAGCCGACCUGAGAGGGUGGUCGGCCAACCUGGGACUGAGACACGGCCCAGACUCCCACGGGAGGCAGCAGUAGGGAAUCUUCGGCAAUGGGGGGAACCCUGACCGAGCAACGCCGCGUGAGUGAAGAAGGUUUUCGGAUCGUAAAGAUCUGUUGUAAGUCAAGAACGAGUGUGAGAGUGGAAAGUUCACACUGUGACGGUAGCUAACCAGAAAGGGACGGCUAACUACGUG